rnacentral:piRNA from 1 species
AGGAUGGAAUGGAAGAUGCCUGGGCUGGAU